rnacentral:lncRNA from 1 species
UUCAAUUACAAAGGCAUAGUUCACUAAAAUACAACACAAAACCAACAUAGCACAUUCCCUAACUGAACUAACUAAAUUUCAAUACAAAGUUAACUAACAGCUAAGCACCUAACUGAUUCAAUAACAUUACAACUAAGUCAAUCACAAUUACACAAUUAACCUUAACUCCAUAACUAACUAAUUCUAACUAAAAUCUCUAGCAGUGUGAUAACAGAGUUUUUUCCUAACUAACUUACACUGAACUAAAAUUAACAGAGUUAGCUCUGUUAAAUCUCCAAUCUCUAUAGAUUCAUCACAUCCCCAAUCAUUGAAUGGGACCAAUGACUUCACCAAUUCAUCUCUAAAUUUUCAUCUCCCUCAUUCACUCUCUCUCCCACCAAACUCUCACAUAGAGCUCUAUUUGGCAGCCAUUGAAGCUUCAAUUGUGCUUGAGCUAAACCUCAAUUUCACUGCAUAUUCCCCUCAUACACGAGAUCCUCACUCUCUCUACACUUUCUCAUGCAUCACAAGGCAAAGAAACAAGAAGCAUAACAAGCAUUAGCAACGAAUAAGAAGGACCGGGAAGAAGAAUGAGUAAGGAGAACAAAUCAAACUCGGGGAAGAACUCACCUUUGAUUUUCCUUUGGAUUGCAUUUUUUAUCGACAAAAUUCACCCGGACAAAGCUCUGUCUCGCAAGUACGUACGCUCCUUCGAAGCUUUCCACAUUGCUCAAUAUGCUAUGUUGAUCUUUCAUAGAUUUAGGGAUUUAUUUUAGCAUCUCUUAUGUUUGUAACAGUUCGAAGUAUAGAGGAGAGAUGAGGAUGACGAGAUAUUGUUUUGAUUGUUGGAGAUUCUGGAGAAUGCGAAGAUGGUACAAACAGAGGAAUGCGAACAUGAUAUGAUUUCGUUUUCAGGUGUGAUUGAUGAGUUCAAUUGAAG